rnacentral:lncRNA from 1 species
GACCUGGUUGGCGAACCCAUGGCCACGUUUUAACACCUACCAAACUAAACCCCCUGCAACAGCUGAAUCUACUCGUCACUCUCGCCUUCAUUAAUUUCCCCAUCAAAAUUUCCAAACUCCUACAGCGAGUUUUCGUGUGUUUGCAUAACUUCGCCGGCAGUUUAGCGUCGGUGUCAUGGUACUAGGCCAUCCUACUCUCUGGGGAAUUACUCUACUGCAUUUUUUUUGGGUCCAUACUCCCCAGCUAUAUAUAUA